UACGUAGGCAGCGAGCGUUGUUCGGAGUUACUGGGCGUAAAGAGUGCGUAGGCGGUUUUCUAAGUUUGGUGUGAAAUCUCCCGGCUCAACUGGGAGGGUGCGCCGAAGACUGGAAGGCUUGAGUAUGGGAGAGGUAAGCGGAAUUCCUGGUGUAGCGGUGAAAUGCGUAGAUAUCGGAAGGAACACCAGUGGCGAAAGCGGCUUCCUGGUCCAGCACCGACAUUCAGGCACGAAAGCGUGGGGAGCAAACAGGG
rnacentral:rRNA from 1 species